rnacentral:rRNA from 1 species
UACAGAGGGUGCGAGCGUUAAUCGGAAUUACUGGGCGUAAAGCGCGCGUAGGCGGCUUUGCAAGUCGGGUGUGAAAUCCCCAGGCUUAACCUGGGAACUGCACUCGAGACUGCAUUGCUAGAGUAUGGGAGAGGGAAGUGGAAUUUCAGGUGUAGCGGUGAAAUGCGUAGAUAUCUGAAGGAACAUCAGUGGCGAAAGCGACUUCCUGGACCAAUACUGACGCUCAUGUGCGAAAGCGUGGGGAGCAAACAGG